rnacentral:lncRNA from 1 species
GUGUAGUGUUUUAUGAUACUGAACGUAUAUUUUUUCUGCUUAGUUUUGACUUGCGGUGUAGAAUAAUGAGCUAAAUAACAGUGUUCUAAAUACAAUCUUCAUUAUAUUAUAGAACACAUAUAUACUAUAGUUCCAACAUUAUUGAUCCUAACUCUGGUGGUUACAAAUCUGACAUAUUUGACUCCUAGAAAUGUACAUCGAUCAAACGUAAUUAGGCUGAAAAGAUUUCUCUUACAAUUUCUAAGCAUUUAGUUAUUUUUUAAUUUAUAUUUAAUGCCAUGUACAUGUGCCGUAAAAUUCGAUGUGAUGAAAAAUUUUUUAAAAAAAUUGAAUUGUGGAGGGGACUAAACAAGGCCGAAGAUAUG